AGAGUUUGAUCCUGGCUCAGGACGAACGCUGGCGGCGUGCUUAACACAUGCAAGUCGAGCGGAAAGGCCCUUCGGGGUACUCGAGCGGCGAACGGGUGAGUAACACGUGAGUAACCUGCCCCUGACUCUGGGAUAAGCCUGGGAAACUGGGUCUAAUACCGGAUAUGACAUCUACCCGCAUGGGUUGGGUGUGGAAAGUUUUUUCGGUUGGGGAUGGGCUCGCGGCCUAUCAGCUUGUUGGUGGGGUAGUGGCCUACCAAGGCGACGACGGGUAGCCGGCCUGAGAGGGCGACCGGCCACACUGGGACUGAGACACGGCCCAGACUCCUACGGGAGGCAGCAGUGGGGAAUAUUGCGCAAUGGGCGGAAGCCUGACGCAGCGACGCCGCGUGAGGGAUGACGGCCUUCGGGUUGUAAACCUCUUUCAGCAGGGACGAAGUUGACGUGUACCUGUAGAAGAAGCGCCGGCUAACUACGUGCCAGCAGCCGCGGUA
rnacentral:rRNA from 1 species